rnacentral:tRNA from 1 species
GCUUUUAAAGGAUAGUAGUUAUCCAUUGGUCUUAGGAACCAAAAACUCUUGGUGCAAAUCCAAGUAAAAGCU